GUGAGUAUAAAAGAGGAACGCUACUUGGGAUAUUCGUCAGUUAUAUCAAACAGGUACAACUAGCACAUUCAACAUGCAAUCUUUCAAAAUCUUGCUUUUCGUGGCUUUGGCCAUAGCCUGCGUCUUCGCCGCCGAAGAUAAAAUCAAGAAGGACGUCUACGGAUAUACCGGAUUGGGAUACGGCGGACUUUACGGAAGCGCUUACGUGCCCACUGCUUACACCGGAUUCGCCCACGGAUACAAUGCUUACCCAUACGCUGGAUACCUUGGACACCACUUCUAUUGAACCACUCUUCCCUUCUCCCAAUUGUAAUUUUCGGCUUCAUACCUAAAUAAAUUUCCACUGCUCUCUAAA
rnacentral:lncRNA from 1 species